rnacentral:rRNA from 1 species
UACGUAGGGAGCAAGCGUUGUCCGGAAUCAUUGGGCGUAAAGCGCGUGUAGGCGGUUACAUAAGUCUGUUGUGAAAGUCGGAGGCUCAACCUUCGAAAGCCGAUGGAUACUGUGUGACUUGAGUACGGAAGAGGAGAGUGGAAUUCCUGGUGUAGCGGUGAAAUGCGCAGAUAUCAGGAGGAACACCAACGGCGAAGGCAGCUCUCUGGGACGUUACUGACGCUGAGACGCGAAAGCGUGGGGAGCAAACAGGAUUAGAUACCCUGGUAGUCCACGCCGUAAACGAUGGUCACUAGAUGUGGGGGGUGUCGACUCCCUCCGUGUCGUAGCUAACGCGUUAAGUGACCCGCCUGGGGAGUACGGCCGCAAGGCUAAA